rnacentral:rRNA from 1 species
UGCAAGUCGAACGAACUCUGGUAUUGAUUGGUGCUUGCAUCAUGAUUUACAUUUGAGUGAGUGGCGAACUGGUGAGUAACACGUGGGAAACCUGCCCAGAAGCGGGGGAUAACACCUGGAAACAGAUGCUAAUACCGCAUAACAACUUGGACCGCAUGGUCCGAGCUUGAAAGAUGGCUUCGGCUAUCACUUUUGGAUGGUCCCGCGGCGUAUUAGCUAGAUGGUGGGGUAACGGCUCACCAUGGCAAUGAUACGUAGCCGACCUGAGAGGGUAAUCGGCCACAUUGGGACUGAGACACGGCCCAAACUCCUACGGGAGGCAGCAGUAGGGAAUCUUCCACAAUGGACGAAAGUCUGAUGGAGCAACGCCGCGUGAGUGAAGAAGGGUUUCGGCUCGUAAAACUCUGUUGUUAAAGAAGAACAUAUCUGAGAGUAACUGUUCAGGUAUUGACGGUAUUUAACCAGAAAGCCACGGCUAACUACGUGCCAGCAGCCGCGGUAAUACGUAGGUGGCAAGCGUUGUCCGGAUUUAUUGGGCGUAAAGCGAGCGCAGGCGGUUUUUUAAGUCUGAUGUGAAAGCCUUCGGCUCAACCGAAGAAGUGCAUCGGAAACUGGGAAACUUGAGUGCAGAAGAGGACAGUGGAACUCCAUGUGUAGCGGUGAAAUGCGUAGAUAUAUGGAAGAACACCAGUGGCGAAGGCGGCUGUCUGGUCUGUAACUGACGCUGAGGCUCGAAAGUAUGGGUAGCAAACAGGAUUAGAUACCCUGGUAGUCCAUACCGUAAACGAUGAAUGCUAAGUGUUGGAGGGUUUCCGCCCUUCAGUGCUGCAGCUAACGCAUUAAGCAUUCCGCCUGGGGAGUACGGCCGCAAGGCUGAAACUCAAAGGAAUUGACGGGGGCCCGCACAAGCGGUGGAGCAUGUGGUUUAAUUCGAAGCUACGCGAAGAACCUUACCAGGUCUUGACAUACUAUGCAAAUCUAAGAGAUUAGACGUUCCCUUCGGGGACAUGGAUACAGGUGGUGCAUGGUUGUCGUCAGCUCGUGUCGUGAGAUGUUGGGUUAAGUCCCGCAACGAGCGCAACCCUUAUUAUCAGUUGCCAGCAUUAAGUUGGGCACUCUGGUGAGACUGCCGGUGACAAACCGGAGGAAGGUGGGGAUGACGUCAAAUCAUCAUGCCCCUUAUGACCUGGGCUACACACGUGCUACAAUGGAUGGUACAACGAGUUGCGAACUCGCGAGAGUAAGCUAAUCUCUUAAAGCCAUUCUCAGUUCGGAUUGUAGGCUGCAACUCGCCUACAUGAAGUCGGAAUCGCUAGUAAUCGCGGAUCAGCAUGCCGCGGUGAAUACGUUCCCGGGCCUUGUACACACCGCCCGUCACACCAUGAGAGUUUGUAACACCCAAAGUCGGUGGGGUAACCUUUUAGGAACCAGCCGCCUAAGG